rfam:Aedes albopictus isolate Foshan contig85671, whole genome shotgun sequence.
UGCCCAGCAACUCCUAUCCCUACCUCCACGCGGUACCGGCCGAAAACUAUGAGCAACCUUAGGGAAGAUCGGGUAACCAACCCCGGUGGGAACUUUGGUCGUAGGCUGACAGGGAAGG